UUGACUUAAAAAUGAUAAUCAUUAUCAUGUGUUUCACUGAUCGCAGGAUCAGCGGUAACUGACAGGGCGGCUACUCAUCAGGUUAUCGACUUAUCAGGCUCAUUCACGGUGUUUGACCCGGCUCUGUCGGGUCUUUUCUUU
rnacentral:sRNA from 1 species